CUGAGUGACUGCAGUGAGUUGUAUCUAAGUGAUCACACGGGAGAUAAAUACACUUUCAUUGAUUAGUUAUUUUGAUCUUUCCUGAUCUUGGCUAAUACCUCAACUAGUAAUGUGAGUUCUCUCCCCCCCAUGUCCUGGAGAAGGUGAUAAACAGCCACUGGCUUUAACACAGUUUGCUUUCACAGACAGCUAACCAUUCCUCUCUUAAAGCUAAUAUAUAGGAAGAGGUGCCUGGGUGAAAGACGUCUUGGGACUAAUUUGGCACUUUUGUACUUGCAAUAAAUUCCCAUGCUUUAUAUUUCACCCAUGGAGAUCAUUAGCCAAUAACUCCAAAGAUGAAACAAUAUUAUCCCAGCAUUUCAGGGGACAACAGGACUGGAAGCUGCCCUUCAGUUCAUGUUUGUAAGUGUGGGAUGGUGGAUCCCUCACCAGACAAUCUGGUGGAGCUUUUAAGAACAUAUUGUUUAAAGUUAAGAAAACCAAAACAUACGUUAAAGCGGCUUCGUCAUUUCCAAGUAUUUAAUAAAGUAAUGAUCAUUAUGAUAGACUUAUGCUGACUGUUGAAAUUCCAAUGCAGUCUAAAGAUACCAUAUGACAAAUAUUUUUGUUCCUGUAACUUUUUUUUAAGUGUCUCAUUAAUUGUUAAAUUUCAACCUUUCAUAAUAUUGUAAAGCAUGACUGAGUUGGUGCUAUAUAGAUGUAUUUAUAUUUGGUGCUAUAGAAAAUGCCAAUAAUAAUGAGGUUAACAAAAGCAGAGGUCCAUUGUCCACUUUUGUCCAAUUCCAGGAGCAGGCACAAGUGACGCUUGUCUCACUCAUCACGAGAUGUGAUCCAGAGAGGUACCAGGUUCCUUCACACGCCUCCAUACAUUCUUGCCCGUACACAAAGGUACAGCACUGACGAAGCACCUAACAGAUGAAGUGCCAGGUGCCGAACAAGGUAGCAGGAAGAAGGCCACAAGGUACAGCGUCAGAUAGGUAAACCUACCUUCAAUAUAGAACAUAUUUGGUGGUUCUGUUGAGAAAUCCAGACCUACUGGACCCAGGCUAUAGCAAUUAUAGAAAAAGUUAUACCACUCCCAGCGACACUAACCCCAUCCCAGGUAUUAUUGAGCUGGCCUAACACAUUCCCAGACAGAAAUAGUCAAAC